rnacentral:rRNA from 1 species
GACGAACGCUGGCGGCGUGCUUAACACAUGCAAGUCGAACGGAAAGGCCCUGCUUUUGUUGGGUGCUCGAGUGGCGAACGGGUGAGUAACACGUGAGUAGCCUGCCCUUGACUUUGGGAUAACUUCAGGAAACUGGGGCUAAUACCGGAUAGGAACUCCUGCUGCAUGGUGGGGGUUGGAAAGUUUCGGCGGUUGGGGAUGGACUCGCGGCUUAUCAGCUUGUUGGUGGGGUAGUGGCUUACCAAGGCUUUGACGGGUAGCCGGCCUGAGAGGGUGACCGGCCACAUUGGGACUGAGAUCCGGCCCAGACUCCUACGGGAGGCAGCAGUGGGGAAUAUUGCACAAUGGGCGGAAGCCUGAUGAAGAAACGCCGCGUGCGGGAUGACGGCCUUCGGGUUGUAACCCGCUUUCGCCUGUGACGAAGCGUGAGUGACGGUAAUGGGUAAAGAAGCACCGGCUAACUACGUG